GAUGAACGCUGGCGGCGUGCCUAAUACAUGCAAGUCGAGCGAACAGACGAUGAGCUUGCUCCUCUGACGUUAGCGGCGGACGGGUGAGUAACACGUGGAUAACCUACCUAUAAGACUGGGAUAACUUCGGGAAACCGGAGCUAAUACCGGAUAAUAUAUUGAACCGCAUGGUUCAAUAGUGAAAGACGGUUUUGCUGUCACUUAUAGAUGGAUCCGCGCCGGAUUAGCUAGUUGGUAAGGUAACGGCUUACCAAGGCAACGAUGCGUAGCCGACCUGAGAGGGUGAUCGGCCACACUGGAACUGAGACACGGUCCAGACUCCUACGGGAGGCAGCAGUAGGGAAUCUUCCGCAAUGGGCGAAAGCCUGACGGAGCAACGCCGCGUGAGUGAUGAAGGUCUUCGGAUCGUAAAACUCUGUUAUUAGGGAAGAACAAAUGUGUAAGUAACUAUGCACGUCUUGACGGUACCUAAACAGAAAGCCACGGCUAACUACGUG
rnacentral:rRNA from 1 species